rnacentral:rRNA from 1 species
CCUACGUGUGGCAGCAGUGGGGAAUAUUGGACAAUGGGGGAAACCCUGAUCCAGCGACGCCGCGUGAGUGAAGAAGUAUUUCGGUACGUAAAGCUCUAUCAGCAGGAAAGAAAAUGACGGUACCCGACUAAGAAGCCCCGGCUAACUACGUGCCAGCAGCCGCGGUAAUACGUAGGGGGCAAGCGUUAUCCGGAUUUACUGGGUGUAAAGGGAGCGUAGACGGCAGCGCAAGUCUGGAGUGAAAUGCCGGGGCUCAACCCCGGAACUGCUCUGGAAACUGUGAAGCUGGAGUGCAGGAGAGGUAAGCGGAAUUCCUGGUGUAGGGGGGGGGGGGGUAGAUAUCAGGAGGAACACCGGCGGCGAAGGCGGCUUACUGGACUGUAACUGACGUUGAGGCUCGAAGGCGUGGGGAGCAAACAGGAUUAGAUACCCCAGUAGUC